CUUGUCGCUGUUUCUUCAAUGAGAGUCGCGCAGUGUCUGGGCCCCCACUCCCAAGCCCUCGGGUAUCGUCAGUGCGGUACAUCCUGACCUGCCCCGCUCCGGCGGGCAGUGCGUGAUGAGCGGAGCGUGAUGACGUGUGAUUACAGUCACGUGGCGCGGGGCAUGCAACACCCCGUGGGCCCCCUCUGAUGGCACGCGCUGCGGGGCAGGCGGGGGCACCGUGAAAGGGCGGGGAAAGGCGUUGGCAUGCCAUGGCAUGGCAUGGCGUGGCAGUGGGGGGUGCCCUGCUUUGGGGUCCUGAAGAGGAUGUGGGGGUGUUCCAGGGCGUUGUUUGAUGGCCUACAAGGAGAACGUGAACCCCGGCUUGUACGGCCUGCUUAAGCAGAAUGGGGCCCCCGCCCCCCCCUGCAGCCCAGCGGGUGCCCCUCAAGGACCCCCCCACCACGGGGACCCCCUCCGAUGCCCUCCUGCUGCAGAGAGCCGCCGGCCGGCCUCCCCCCGUGCCAGUAGCAGGACGCGUCCCUGUGGAGCCCAACACCUUGGUGGCCCCCCAGUACCUGCUGGCAGAAGCCAGCUUCGGUUUCAGAAGAGUACAGGCCAUGGAGCUUGGAUCAGUUCACAGGGGAGAGAAGACAGCGCAGGGAGAGGACAGCCAACUCCAGCAGGAGCUGAGGCCUUUCUGAGCAGAGGCCACAGCCCUCACAGCUCCCCCCCAGCCUCCUCAGCAGCCCACAGCAGUGAUGAACGCUGUCCUCCUUCUCCUCCUCUCCAGAAGAUGCUCCGCGUGCAGCCCCAGAGACCACGCUCCCAGGGCCGUGUUUGCCUCCAUUGAAUACCUUGUGAGAAUUUUUGAGGAAAUGAUUAUUUACGGUCUGCAGAGGAACAUUCAGCUUGCUACACUCUUUAUUCAGCUUCUGAAGGAACUUGAGGCAUUCGUUUCCACUACCAAAACAAAACCAUAUUCUAUUACUUGUAGAAGGGUAUGUCUUUUUGCAAGCUAAAAUCAUCUGUGCAUUUCCAGCAUUGGCUAGUAAAUGAAUCAGACAUGCAGUUUCAUUAUAUUAAAAAAAAUAAAUCUAUCCUGUUUAACACGUAAUACUACAUUUAACAUCUUGGCAAGUUACACACUUUGAUUGUCUGUUCCCCCGACCCGAAAGGGUAGCAAAUCCUGAAGUUACCUGGAAUAUUCAGCUGCACACAAAACUGAAAAAGCGUCAUCCGAAAGUUUUUGUGAAACAAUUCUGUUGACCUCCACUUCUAUUUCCUCACUCUCACCAAUCCUGUUUUUAAUCAACUUAAGAAAUUCUGUACCGGAGUAUGCCUAAUAACCUCAGAACACUGCCUUCCUGUUCACGUGGGCAUACAGAUCAGUCUUCCAACACCAGGAGCAGAGAGUUUAGUCAACUUCAUGCUGAAUUAUCAAUAUUCAUUACCCAGAGAUGACAUUUUUGAAAAGGACUGGGGGGGUGUGGGGGGGGGAAUAGUAGUAUUCUCAUGGAGUCAUUUAGUCUCCAGCACAGUGAAAAAAUGAAGAAUCUGUUACUGACUUGGGACCUGGAUCUGACAAUACUUUCCUUCAAGACUAAAAUACCUUACGUUAUCUGCUUUGAGGAAAAAAGUAUACUUAGUGCUCAAAAGACAGGAAGAUCACUGAAAAUCAGUUUGAUCAGUCUCCGAAGAGUGAAGGAAAGGAUAUAGAAAUUUAAGAGGCUAAUUUCAAUGCCAAGAUUUUAGAUCUCCCAUGUGAGAGUGACUCGAUUCAUUUUACUUUACGUGUCAGAAGGAACCCAAAGUGUCAGUUCCAAGGCAUGGUGCAAGCCAGAAAGUUGCUGCCAUUGACUGGGCAAAAGAAGAGGAUGGGGGGGGGGGGAGGAAUAGGUAAGAUCAUCGAAACUUCUCAAACUUCUGAGAAGUGCCUUUGUCACCACUAGAACAGUUUCAGCUACCUGUAAGCUAUUUAGGUGAGUAACAUCAGGCCCAAAACAAAAGACAAUAUUAAGCUGGCAUUUCCCUGUCGCAAGACUUCAUUGCAUCUGGGAGAGUGUCUAAGAAGAGGCUGCAUUUAGCCCACAGAUCGUUUGCAUUCAGCUCUCAAGUUUUCCCUACAACACCCCUCCCAAACAAGCAAUAUUAAGCUGCCUACUGGCAGAACACUGCUUCCUAAAAAGAGCUGGCAGCCUGGGGC